CUCCCGUCCCUUCUUCAAGUGCCGCGCCCGCCUCUGACGCCACCAGUGCGCCGGAAGUGACGCCAUCGAUCGUCAGGCAGGCGAGGGCUUUCCGGCUCUGCAAGGUCUCAGAGCCGGCCGACAUCGCUCAUACCUGAGGGUUUGAUCCCUUUGAGCGAGGAAGGAAAAGGGCGUGGAGAAACGGUAUUCGUUCGUCCUUACCAUUCCGUAACAUUCGUGAGCUGACCCUGUGCUGGGGACACUCCAGUGGCUGAGACAGCCCCAGUCUCCUGCUGCUGGAGCUCACAGUUCAGUGAGGGACAUAGACGCAUCACCAGGUGCUGGCUCAGGCUGGUAACACUUGGCACACCAGACAUUGAGUGGCAGGGGUCUCAUUUG